AACGGGGGGAGCUAGUGUUAUUCAUCUUAAACUUGGGCGUAAAGGGUGCGUAGGUUGUUUUUUAAAAAAGUUAAAAUAAAGAAUCUAAGCUUAAACUUAGAAAUUAUUUUUUUUAAUAAAAAAACUAGAGGGCAGAAGAGGUUUGUUGUAUUUUCAAUGGAGAAAUAAAAUUUAGAGAUAUUGAGAGGACGUCCUAAAGGCAGAGGCUACAAACUAUAAUGUUUCUGACACUGAGGCACGGAAAGCAUGGGGAUCAAAUGGGACUUAGAAACCC
rnacentral:rRNA from 1 species